AAGAGUCCCACGCAAGGCAACAAGAACCACACGGCAACAUCAAUCCAUGCGCAAUAUACAAGCCACAAAGCCAACAACCAUGCAUAACAAACAACCAUACACAAUAACAAGCUCAAAGAAAGGUAGGAGAGAGGAUAUACGAAGUAGAGGGGGCUACUUCUUUUAUUGCUUUACACACCCAAGCUUUACAAUUGCCAUAAAGAGAAAAACACUCUCAAGUUCUUUCUCCCGCAACUCACUCUCUCAAGCUCACUCUCUAUACACUCUCUACCGAAAAUACAAAGGGAACAACUCCCUUAUAUACAUGCACGGCUGUCCCUUUGAGCCCAACAAUUGGCAGCAGCCAAUCACCUCAAUUCACAUAAAAUAAGCUAGGAAAUAGAUGUGUCAUCAUGGGUGGACAUGGGGCAGCUUGGGGUCAUGCCACUUGGCCCACUUGGCCACUUGCCGCUGCAUUUGGAAGGGAAAUUGGAGGGAAACUUGGCGCCAUUUGUUGGUCCCAAUUGCCAAGUGGGCUGGCCACUUUUCACGCACACAUGGGCUGGUCACCACCCAAUGCGCCCCACAUGGGCUGAUUGCACAAUGUCUCACGCUGCAUGGUUUUCUUGGCCAUUUACUUCACGUUGUGCAUGGCCCAUGCACGUAUUGAAGCUUGUCCCAACUUGCCGCCAACACUUACUCCCCACUAAGGAGCUAAGUCACCAUGGUGCGCUCCACUUGUGCACUUCUAAUGCACAUGCAGCUUCAACACAUCCCACGGCUCCACAUGUGUCCCAUUAAUUUAAUCCUCAUGUCCAAGUGGCUGCUCCACUUUGGUGUAGCACAUGCCUUGCAUUAUCUCCAUUUUAUUUCCACGUCCCAUGCAUUUAUCCAUGCAUGAAAGUGGACAUCUCCACUUUGCCGCUCCACAUGGCUCUCAUGUGAGGUCCAUAAUGCGCCUCACAAUUAGGCCAUUUUAGUUUCACGCACACAAUGUGUUGGUUCCACUUAGGUGCGCCACAUGUAUUCCACUAAACCCAUGUGAGUGUUCAUCUCCACUAUCUCACAUCCCAUGUGCCGCCCCACCAAAGCACCAUGCACCGCCCCACCAAAGCACCAUGCAAAAGCCACAUCUUCACGUGAACCACAAUUUCUCAUGCAUGUUCCUCACGUAAGCCAAGCCAUCCACAUGCACAACCAUGCCAUGCCAUGCGCCACAUGUCCCACUAAACCCAAGGGAUCACCAUAGUGCGCCACUAGUGCACCAAAUGUAAUUGCAUGUGAUCUUCCACUCACACACAAUAUUCACUCGCAAGGCUCCAUGUGCCGCUCCACUAAUGCCCAUGUGAUGACCAUAGAGCGCCACAUUGGUGUGUCAACAUGCAAACCCUCACGUGAACCAAAUCCCAUGCAACGUCCACGUAGCUUUCCCAUGCAACCAUCAUGUAGCUCACGUCCAAUUUAAGGACUUCUCAUGCAAGUGAUCCACGUCCACUUAAAGGAACCCCCUAUGCAAAGCAAUUCUCUCAAGGCUUCACGUCUUCCCUUGCCUUAGCAAUAUUCAUGCAUACCACUGAACCUCAAAUGGGCAGCCAACAACACCAAAAUAAAUUGGACUUCUCGGGGCAAAAUAAAAUGGGGUGACACUCUCCCCCA
rnacentral:misc_RNA from 1 species